UGGGGAAUCUUCCGCAAUGGACGGAAGUCUGACGGAGCAACGCCGCGUGAGUGAUGAAGGUCUUCGGAUUGUAAAGCUCUGUUAAUCGGGACGAAAGAGCCUAGUGUGAAUAAUGCUAGGAAGUGACGGUACCGGAAUAGAAAGCCACGGCUAACUACGUGCCAGCAGCCGCGGUAAUACGUAGGUGGCAAGCGUUGUCCGGAAUUAUUGGGCGUAAAGCGCGCGCAGGCGGAUCUGCCAGUCUGUCUUAAAAGUUCGGGGCUUAACCCCGUGAUGGGAUGGAAACUACAGAUCUAGAGUAUCGGAGAGGAAAGUGGAAUUCCUAGUGUAGCGGUGAAAUGCGUAGAUAUUAGGAAGAACACCAGUGGCGAAGGCGACUUUCUGGACGAAAACUGACGCUGAGGCGCGAAAGCCAGGGGAGCGAACGG
rnacentral:rRNA from 1 species